CAGGCAGAAGUGGGGUGAACCAGGGUUUCCCCAUCCCACCUGAAAACCCUAACCACUGGGCUAAAGGUAUUAAAGGAGGUGGUCACUCCUCUAUUCAUUUUGUGUAGAUUUCAGCAUGCUCUGAGUUUGCUUGCAAUCUGGUGAGCACGAUAGAUAGGGCAACACCUAACUCACUUGGUUUAUGAUCACACUAGGGCUUAGGUAUGAGACAACGGUGUGCAUGCCAAAAGGCUGAAACUUAAGCACCUUAGAAACUUUUACAGCAAAAAUAUAGGGGCCUCUAUGUUCCUUUACCUGGUUUGUUCCUUUCUUCUGUUGCAAAGGGUCACUAACCUCAUUGAUUUAGGAAGAGGCCUGGACUAAAGAAAGCUACAGAAACAGAAGGCCAGAAUCACGACAAAGUCCAGGAGGCAAUCAGAAGAUAAUUUAGAAAAACUGAAUUAAAGAU